CUACGGGGUGCUGCAGUGAGGAAUUUUGGACAAUGGGCGAAAGCCUGAUCCAGCGACGCCACGUGAAUGAUGAAGGCCUUAGGGUCGUAAAAUUCUUUUAGUGGAAAAGAUAAUGACGGUAUCCACAGAAAAAGUCCCGGCUAACUUCGUGCCAGCAGCCGCGGUAAUACGAAGGGGGCAAGCGUUACUCGGAAUUAUUGGGCGUAAAGCGUGCGCAGGUGGUUUUAUAAGUUGAAAGUGAAAGCCUUUGGCUCAACCAAAGAAUUGCUUCCAAAACUGUAAAACUAGAGUCUUAGAGAGGAUGGAGGAAUUCCUGAUGUAGGUGUGAAAUCCGUAGAUAUCAGGAGGAAUAUCGAAGGCGAAAGCAUCCAUCUGGCUAAGUACUGACGCUGUAGCACGAAAGCGUGGGGAGCAAACAGGAUUAGAUACCCGUGUAGUC
rnacentral:rRNA from 1 species